rnacentral:rRNA from 1 species
UACGUAGGGAGCGAGCGUUAUCCGGAUUUAUUGGGUGUAAAGGGUGCGUAGACGGGAAAUUAAGUUAGUUGUGAAAUCCCAUGGCUCAACUGUGGAACUGCAACUAAAACUAAUUUUCUUGAGUACUGGAGAGGAAAGUGGAAUUCCUAGUGUAGCGGUGAAAUGCGUAGAUAUUAGGAGGAACACCAGCGGCGAAGGCGGCUUACUGGACCGUGACUGACGUUGAGGCUCGAAAGCGUGGGGAGCAAACAGG